CAGAGAGCACACAGUUAGCACUGGGCUGGCUGCCUGUGGCUGGCCUCUGACAUCACGGCUGCGUCAGCCCAGCCAGCCCCAGCCCCCCACUUCCUCCUCUCCCUGGGCAGCAUCCUCCACUACCUCCCCAGCCUCACUGUUCUGUCCUGAAAACGAGCAGCGCCCAGCCUUCCCUCCUGGAAGGGGGCAGGGUGGUCAGGGAGAGGGAGAGGACAAACACCACUUUGCAUCCAGGAGGGACUUAGUAAACCACAGCCGACAGCCGUGAUGUGUUGGAGCCAAACCAUAAUCCUGGGAGAAAAGGCAGAAUAACUUGGUGAGGACCUUCCCUCGGGGAUGCAGAUGGAGAAGUGACCUGCCCAGGGUCACCCAGCUCACAAGUGGCAAGCUCGUCUAGCCCCAAAGUCUGUGAUUUUGGUCUCCAUUCCAGGCUGCCCCUCUGGGGUUCAGGCCCCACAUCAGCCACUGUACCACUGAAUCGGCCCAUAAGGCUGCAAGCUGGGGUCUGUCCUUGGUUCCAUCUUAAGCUAGAGGCUCAGAGAGGUAUUUUCUCCCAAGCACCCGGAAAAGUCACAGCAAUGUUGUGCAAUGAAUGACUGAAUACACAGUGUCUUCUCCUUUGAGAAACUACCUGGCUCCAUCUCGGCUGCCUUCGCUCCACUGGACUUGGGUUCCUCUCCAAGAUCAGCGCUCAGAGACCAGCGAUGAAGACCUAGAGGCAUCUGGGCCACACCGAACCUUUGAGGUAGAGGCUGGUAUCUGGAAGCCACCUGAGUAAUCCCACUGUGUUCCUGCCCAACCUGACGGGGCAUGAACUGGAAAUUCCCUAUAAUACUUGCUCAUUAAAUGGUUCCUCCCUCCUCCUGCUUUUCCUUGGCCUCCCACUCUCCCUUACCCAGCUCCCAAAGCGCCUGCGGAAAUCUCUGCAAAGGAGUCUGACUGGUUUGGGGAGGGCUGGGCGGCCACUUCUCCUUCCUGCCACCCACCUGCCCACCCGCUGCCGGAGCCCAGGCCUCCGCCUGCCAGGAGGUGUGGGCUGUGCAGUUCUGGAACACAGAGCCGAAUGCCCACGCAAGAUAAAGGGACCACUAGUGCCGCCUCAGCCCAGGCCCAGCCUUGUGCAAUCCAGAUCUCUGCUGCACAGAGACAGCCACAGGGAUGAGCGGAUAUGCUUAUCUGAUGGGGCCACGAGGCCUCCAGAUGACUCCCGGGGCUGCAUUCUCUCAAUUAGGCGUUGGACUCCUCACUGCCAGGCAAAUGCGCCUGCUUUUUGGGCACAUCCUCAUGCUCCUUCCAGUCAGUCAACACUUAUUAGGCACUUCCUGUGUGCCCAGCCCUGUGCUGAGUGCUGGGCACACAGAGGUAAAUAUGACAAAGUCCCCGCCCCAUGGAGCUCACAGUCCGAGGGGGACAGGGCAGAUACAUAAAAAAAGAGAAUGGUCUCGGGAACGUGGGUGACUCUCAAAAUCGUGAUGUCGAGGAAAAGACGCCCAAUAAAUAAUACACUGCCUGAUUCCACUUAUAGAAAAUUCUAGAGAACACAAACUCGUCCACGGCCACAGAAAGCAGAUCAGCCACAGUUGGCAGAGUUGGCAGGCGAUGGGAGUGUGGCUAGGGAUCCAAGAGGGAUGAAGGCCAACAGGACACAAGAACACUUUUGGGGACAAUGAAUACAACUGGCACCUUGAUUGUGCUGGUGGUUGGGGAGUGCGUGCGUAUGUCCAAACUCAUCCACACGGACACUGGA